rnacentral:rRNA from 1 species
GCUAACAAUCUAGCCCACCAACACUUUAUGAACCUAAACACCUCAUCAUAAGAACUAAAACAUUCUAUUAAUCUAGUAAAGGCGAUUAAAAAAUUAGUAGGAGCAACACAAAUAGUACCGCAAGGGAAAGAUGAAAUAAAAAUGAAACAAACAUCAAGCACAAGAUAGUAGAGACUAACCCUCGUACCUUUUGCAUCAUGGUUUAACAAGUCCAAUCAAGCACAAUGAAUUACAGUUUGACCUCCCGAAACUAAGUGAGCUACUUCAGGGCAGCUUAUUGAGCGAACCCGUCUCUGUUGCAAAAGAGUGGGAAGACCCUCAAGUAGGGGUGAUAGACCUAACGAACUUAGUGAUAGCUGGUUACUCAAGAAAAGGAUUUAAGUCCAGCCUAAAAUCUUCUCAGUUUUCAAAACAUAGCUUUGAUUUUAGAGUAAUUCAAAUAAGGUACAGCCUAUUUGAAAAAGGAUACAACCUAGACCAACGGGUAAUACUAUAAUUUUAUAACUAAGUGGGCCUAAAAGCAGCCACCUUUUAAAUAGCGUCAAAGCUUUAUUAUUAUAUAUCCCUAAUUCCUAAAAAAUUUAACAACCCUUCAAUUCUAUUGAGUAAUUCUAUAGUACUAUAGAAAAUAUGAUGUUAAAACUAGUAACAAGAAGAAGACCUUCUCUUUAAUGUAAGUGUAAAUCAGAAAGGACUCCCCGCUGAUAAUCAACUCCUAUGAAACUACAUUAGCAACUCUUCAAGAAAACCCUAAUAAAUUUUAAGUUAAUCUAACACAAGAACAUUACAAGAAAGAUUAAAAGAAAAAGAAGGAACUCGGCAAACAUUAACCUCGCCUGUUUACCAAAAACAUCGCCUCUUGAAUACUUAUAAGAGGUCCAGCCUGCCCAGUGACUCUGUUCAACGGC